rnacentral:lncRNA from 1 species
UUGUUUUAUUAUAUUUUUAUUUUCCCUCCACGUGGGCACUAUCAACUUUCACUCAUCCUUCCAUUUUUUUAUUUUUUUCUCUCUUCCCACUUAUAUUUAUAUUAUAUUUUAUGAUAACCAAAUUACCCCUGCAUUAUUUGAUAUAUUAUAUUGGGCUGCUUUUGGAUUUUUUUUGGUUGAGGGGCAUUCUCGUCCUAAUUAUUUUGUCGAAGCCUUGACCCCAAAUUGGGGCCCUGGCUUUAUAUAUAAGAGAUAAAUUAUGUAUACUAGGGAAGGAAGUUGAGGUUCUUCCAAGAAUUACUUACGCGUGACGAUAAUCAAUAUAAAUACGUGGACAAUUUAUAUAGAGUGAUAUGGAUAUGUGGUUCUUGGACUUUUACACAUGAGCAAAUUGUGCUAUGAUACCAUGAAGAAAAUUGAAGUUCUAACCAAUUUGCAGUAUAGAGGAUAGUUCAACCUCUUAUAAUAACAUACAAUAUAAGGUCUUUUAGCUUUGCGAUGUAGGACAACAUUCCACAUCACAAAUUGAACAUUUACCACAAUAUCUACAACGCAUCCGUAAUGAUUGUUAAACGAUACAACAACAACAACAACAAUACUAAUAACAAAAUUUUAUCCCACUUAGUGAGUUCGGCUGUAUGAAUCAUAUAAUGUUUUUGCGCUCAAUUUUGUAUCAAGUUUUCUGUUAGCUCCAAACACUACAUAUCUUUUCUUAGAGUCUCUUUCCAAGUCUUCCUAGAUCUUCUUCUAUUCCUUUUGGCCUAAAUCUUUGCCUCGUAAUUGUGGAGCACCUCUAGGUCUUUGAUUCACGUGUUCAAUCCACCUUAACCGAUUUUCUCUUAUCUUACCUUCAAUUGUAGCUACUCCUACUUUACCUUAGAUAUCCUUGUUAUUAAUCUUGUUAUUUUUCGUAUGCCCACACAUCCAACAAAACAUUCUAAUCUCUUAUAUACAACAUAUAUAUUCGUCAUUUAUAUGAAUCAUAACUAUGUGAAUAAACUAAAAUAAGAGGCUAGCUAGUAAACGCCACAUUAGAGUCAACUAAAACUAUUGGGCUAUGACCCAUGAAGUCAGUGCAUGAUGCCCCAAAACUCGAGAAAAAUUAUGAUUGAGUAAACUGUAAGUGUAUUUCACUUUAAUGUUCAUUUGCUUCAUGUGCCACAUUUAAUUUGAACCGAAAAAUCGGGUCAAAUCUGAAUUAGAGGGAUCCGAGGUCGGCCAUUAUGCACUCUUAUCUUAACUAGUGGCCACCGUAAUCAAGAAGUACGGCAUGGCGUUUGUUAGGUGGCACCCCAACACACAAACCUCCCACAAGAAGUUUACUAUUGAGAUUGAGAAUGUGAGCAUUCUCACCAUUAUUUUCUUUCAAAUUUUCAACUAACUGUAUAAUUACACUUAUUGUAUCGUAUCGUAUUUCUGACUCAUCGAAAAUCUCUUUUGUUAAAGUAUUUAACCAAGGUUUUAUAUGCAGCAUUGAAAAUUAACCGAGAAUCAAGACCUAAAGUACCGUUUAGUAACUUAGAUAAUAUAGGGUUUGGGUCAACCCUCGAGGGCCUUGGAAAAUUCUACAUUUGGCUUGCUGCAUGGGGAAAUAUUCCAAAUAUUGGCUACUCGUUGUGUAGAUUAAAAAUAUUGUCCACGGUUCUAAUACAUAUGAAUAUUAUACUAAUUAAAUUGUAUUUAAAUUCAUACGCUACUUAUUUUUAAUCUACACAAAAAACUUUUAUUUUGGUCAAUAUCAGAAGAAAACUUUAAGGGAUGUUAUUCACGCAUUUAUUUUUAUUUCUAACACAGAUUUUUUUUAACAGACGGAUCAAAUGAAUUGAAAAAAGUCUAUAAAUAAAAAUAAACAAGAAGAUGCCUUCAAUAUUAAUCAAGAAAGGCUCAUUAACGUAAUGUUCUUCACAAUUAUCAUCCCAAUCAACUAAAUCUUUAUCCUAAAGCCAUCUAGAGUCUUUAGAAAAUUCCUCACAAAUACAUGUGAAACAAAUGAUACUUUUUAACCAAAAUUUUAUCGAAAGUUACCCUGCGAAAAAAGUUAAAGUUUUAUUAUACAAUUAGUUGAUAUUACAGAGAGUAACCCAAUUUUUAAUAAGUUCUUACAAAGUUUUUCCUUUCAUUGAUUUGAGACUCUUUUACUUUCACAUCCUUACACUCCCCAUCACGUGUGAAGAAUUUUUAAGGGAAACACAUGAACUACAGGAAUUGGGUGACGUGGAGCACAAAUUGAGUGACGUAGAGCACAUGUGACCGUUUAACUUCAUACGUGAGUCAACAUGUUCUGAUACCAUAAAGAAGUUUGGUGAUACCUUUGCACUAAAACAUGAGUCUGGAUAGUAACUCAAAUGGUGGUUUCAUAGUUUUCUUUAAAAGUGAUAAAAGAACAUUGUAUAUACACAUGUCAAACAACAAUUUAACUCUAAAGUUUAACGCCAUGUUUGGAUGAGGGUUUUGCUAGUUCCAAUAGAUUGAUGCCAAGUUAAUAAGGAAUGGAUUACAAAAUGUAAAUAUAAAAGGGAUUAUAAAAAACCCUCCAUGUGCAUUGCAUGGGGAUGUGAGAGGAAUUUGCUAAUCUUUACGUGAGAGAUCUAAUCUUCUCUGCAUAACAUUUUAGGAAACUUUAACGAAAAGUUUAUGGUAUUGUUCACUUUAACGAAAAAUCACAUUUUUACACUAAAAAGUUAAUUAUGGUACUAUUCAAUUUAUCCUUUAUUUUGUCAUUUUCGUUAAAACUGAAAGUUUUCAAGCCAUUUUUAUUAUUUUUCCCACAUUUUAUGAUCCAUUACUUCAUAACUUAAGCAUCAAUGUAUUAAAACUUGAAAUACUCUCGUCCAAACGUAGUCUAAAGAAUUCUUGACCUAAGGAGCCAAUUAUUUUCCUCCACAAAUAACAUUUUUUAUUCUUUUACUUUAAUAUUUUUCCAAUUCUCACAUUUCUAAAGUCCAUUAUAUCCCCUUCAAAUACCAGCCCAGACCAAUAAAAAAAAGUUGAAACCAAAUUUACCAAGAAAGCCCGCAGGGAAUCCUGGCUUAAAUUCCUAUAAAUCUCACUCUUGAGCCACUCACUCCAUCUCUCUCUCUCUCUAGAAAAAAAGACUAGAGAAAGAAACAAAACAUGGGUUCUCCUGCUGUGUUUGUGCAGCUCUCAGUCCUCCUACUGAGCUGGUUCACUGUCUUCGGUGAUGUAAUUACCACUUUACCCGCCAUUCCUCCACACCACAGCGUUCACUAUUCCCAUCCAGUAGCUUCCCCAACCCACCCACCGGCUUACCCACCCACUCACGGCCAGCACCACCGCCACCCCCACCAC